ACACUGCAGUCGAGCGGAGAGAGGUAGCUUGCUACUGAUCUUAGCGGCGGACGGGUGAGUAAUGCUUAGGAAUCUGCCUAUUAGUGGGGGACAACAUUUCGAAAGGAAUGCUAAUACCGCAUACGUCCUACGGGAGAAAGCAGGGGAUCUUCGGACCUUGCGCUAAUAGAUGAGCCUAAGUCGGAUUAGCUAGUUGGUGGGGUAAAGGCCUACCAAGGCGACGAUCUGUAGCGGGUCUGAGAGGAUGAUCCGCCACACUGGGACUGAGACACGGCCCAGACUCCUACGGGAGGCAGCAGUGGGGAAUAUUGGACAAUGGGCGCAAGCCUGAUCCAGCCAUGCCGCGUGUGUGAAGAAGGCCUUAUGGUUGUAAAGCACUUUAAGCGAGGAGGAGGCUACUUUAGAUAAUACCUAGAGAUAGUGGACGUUACUCGCAGAAUAAGCACCGGCUAACUCUGUGCCAGCAGCCGCGGUAAUACAGAGGGUGCAAGCGUUAAUCGGAUUUACUGGGCGUAAAGCGCGCGUAGGCGGCUAAUUAAGUCAAAUGUGAAAUCCCCGAGCUUAACUUGGGAAUUGCAUUCGAUACUGGUUAGCUAGAGUGUGGGAGAGGAUGGUAGAAUUCCAGGUGUAGCGGUGAAAUGCGUAGAGAUCUGGAGGAAUACCGAUGGCGAAGGCAGCCAUCUGGCCUAACACUGACGCUGAGGUGCGAAAGCAUGGGGAGCAAACAGGAUUAGAUAC
rnacentral:rRNA from 1 species